UACGUAGGGUGCGAGCGUUGUCCGGAUUUAUUGGGCGUAAAGAGCUCGUAGGCGGUUUGUCGCGUCGGCCGUGAAAUCUCCACGCUUAACGUGGAGCGUGCGGUCGAUACGGGCAGACUUGAGUUCGGUAGGGGAGACGUAGGACUUCUGGUGGUAGCGGUGAAAUGCGCAGAUAUCAGGAGGAACACCGGUGGCGAAGGCGGGUCUCUGGGCCGAUACUGACGCUGGAGGAGCGAAAGCGUGGGGAGCGAACAGG
rnacentral:rRNA from 1 species